UACGUAGGGUGCAAGCGUUGUCCGGAUUUAUUGGGCGUAAAGAGCUCGUAGGCGGCUUGUCGCGUCGACUGUGAAAUCCCGCGGCUCGACUGCGGGUCUGCAGUCGAUACGGGCAGGCUAGAGUUCGGUAGGGGAGACUGGAAUUCCUGGUGUAGCGGUGGAAUGCGCAGAUAUCAGGAGGAACACCAAUAGCGAAGGCAGCUCGCUGGGACGGUACUGACGCUGAGACGCGAAAGCGUGGGGAGCGAACAGGAUAG
rnacentral:rRNA from 1 species